rnacentral:lncRNA from 1 species
AGGUUUCCAUCCUGGUCAUGAAUUAACAGUCCCUUAAAUUUUAGUCUGAUCCAGUCUAGACUCUGGACAAAAGGAAAAUUACAAGUAUCUUGUCUUUUCUCAAGUACAGAAGAACAAUUUAAACUGUUACAGUAACUGGAACAGGUUACUCCAGCAUCAGUUCUAUUAUUAUACAUUUACUAACAAUCUACUGCUAUUCUGCAAUAUAGAGAUCUCGGUAAGGAAGAAAUUUUUCUCUUGUUUAUGGUAUUACAAGUUACAAAUCCUUUUACUUCUUUUAUCAAUUGUAAGCAUAGGUAAAGGAGACUGAGCCUUAAUGUAAUGCAAUAUCCAACCUCAUCAAUGGCUGAUUAAAAGACAGGACACCAAUUAAACAGUCCAGAAUGUGGAGGAUCAUGUAUGGCAUUACAAUAAUAAGAAAACAGGUAAACUAGUUAAAAGCAACUAGGAAACUAAGCUAAAGUAUGAUUAUCAAGACAAAAUAUCGGUAAAGAUUGUCGCUCAAAUAUCACAUUGUUAGAGAAAUGAAUGAUAUAAGGAUAUCAUAGAACAAGUAUGAUGUUGAAUACAAUUGCUUGAAGGACAACAAACCUCACCAAUAUCCAAGCAGAGCAAUAAAUGAAGGAACUGUGAUCAUAGAAAAACACUAUUCUAGCAGACAAAAGGACACCAAGGAGCAACUAUGACGUGAAACAAUCUGGCCCAGGAAGGACAAUGAAAAUAAUUUUAAUAGAAAUUUUAAUUCUGUGUCAAAAAAGAAGAGCCAAGAGCAAAAGAAAAACUCUAGAGCAGCAGUAGUACUGACUAUGGUUGAAAAUGAAGUUACAUCAAAAUAAAUGGAUGUUCAGUGAGUGGUAGCUCCACAGGUUCUUCAAAAAGGCCUUCCAUGUUUGAGACACAAUGAUUGACAAUCAUUAAUUUGUGACCUUGCUAAGAGGAAGAAAAUGUAGCCGAAAACAUGCAUGAUAAAUCCAACUAUCAGCACCAUACACCAUAUAAUAUGCAAAGAAACUACUACUUACCCAGAAGGAAAAAGAGUAGGGAAUCAUCAAUGAAGGUAAAGAUGGUAUAAGGAAUAAAGAGAGAUGACACCUUUACAUCUAGAUUUCUUUUUGCAAUAAUUAGAUUCCCAGAGAAGAAUAUUUAUGACCUCCACAAAUAUCACAUAUUUGAUGGCAAUGUCGAUGAAACAAAGCUUGGAAAGUUCAGAAAGCCUAUAUUCAUGAUCGAUACCCCAUUAAUCAGAAAGCCAAAGUUUCAUGAACUAAGAAAAUCUACUAUGAAUUUUCCAAGGUGACAAAAAAGAACCAGAAGAACAACAAGAACCACAUCAAUUACGGAGGAAUUCUAUAAACAAAUCAGACACAAAAAGAUGACGUUGCAGACCAUAAUUUCUUGUGAGAUCUAUUUGGUUCAACUAUAACCUAGAAAAUCUAAUAUGUUGCAUGAAACUUAAUCACAGCAACCACCGGACCCUAAUUAUCGCAGGAACACCGCAUCACUACAUCUUGUCCAACCUCCGGGUAAAAGCCACGAAAAGAUCAUAAAAUGAAACCUAAUGACACCAGAGCAAGAAAAGAAUCCAACAAGAAACCUUCCUACAAGGCAAACCAAGAAGCAGAGGCAAGGCAAGGGAAAUCCAAC